rnacentral:rRNA from 1 species
UACGGAAGGCAGCAGUGGGGAAUAUUGCACAAUGGGCGCAAGCCUGAUGCAGCCAUGCCGCGUGUAUGAAGAAGGCCUUCGGGUUGUAAAGUACUUUCAGCGGGGAGGAAGGCGAUGCGGUUAAUAACCGCGUCGAUUGACGUUACCCGCAGAAGAAGCACCGGCUAACUCCGUGCCAGCAGCCGCGGUAAUACGGAGGGUGCAAGCGUUAAUCGGAAUUACUGGGCGUAAAGCGCACGCAGGCGGUCUGUUAAGUCAGAUGUGAAAUCCCCGGGCUUAACCUGGGAACUGCAUUUUGAAACUGGCAGGCUUGAGUCUUGUAGAGGGGGUAGAAUUCCAGGUGUAGCGGUGAAAUGCGUAGAGAUCUGGAGGGAAUCCGGUGGCGAAGGCGGCCCCUGGGACAAGACUGACGCUCAGGUGCGAAAGCGUGGGGAGCGAA